rnacentral:rRNA from 1 species
GACGAACGCUGGCGGCGUGCCUAAUACAUGCAAGUGGGACGCAAGGGAACACACUGUGCUUGCACACCGUGUUUUCUUGAGUCGCGAACGGGUGAGUAACGCGUAGGUAACCUGCCUAUUAGCGGGGGAUAACUAUUGGAAACGAUAGCUAAUACCGCAUAAUAUUAAUUAUUGCAUGAUAAUUGAUUGAAAGAUGCAAGCGCAUCACUAGUAGAUGGACCUGCGUUGUAUUAGCUAGUUGGUAAGGUAAGAGCUUACCAAGGCGACGAUACAUAGCCGACCUGAGAGGGUGAUCGGCCACACUGGGACUGAGACACGGCCCAGACUCCUACGGGAGGCAGCAGUAGGGAAUCUUCGGCAAUGGACGAAAGUCUGACCGAGCAACGCCGCGUGAGUGAAGAAGGUUUUCGGAUCGUAAAGCUCUGUUGUAAGUCAAGAACGUGUGUGAGAGUGGAAAGUUCACACAGUGAGGGGUAGCUACCAGAAA